rnacentral:rRNA from 1 species
GACGAACGCUGGCGGCGUGCUUAACACAUGCAAGUCGAACGCUGAAGCCCUUCGGGGUGGAUGAGUGGCGAACGGGUGAGUAACACGUGGGUAAUCUGCCCUGCACUCUGGGAUAAGCCUUGGAAACGGGGUCUAAUACCGGAUAGGACACAUCGCCGCAUGGUGUGUGUGUGGAAAGUUCCGGCGGUGCAGGUUGAGCCCGCGGCCUAUCAGCUUGUUGGUGGGGUGAUGGCCUACCAAGGCGACGACGGGUAGCCGGCCUGAGAGGGUGACCGGCCACACCGGGACUGAGACACGGCCCAGACUCCUACGGGAGGCAGCAGUGGGGAAUCUUGCGCAAUGGGCGAAAGCCUGACGCAGCAACGCCGCGUGGGGGAUGACGGCCUUCGGGUUGUAAACCUCUUUCGACCGGGACGAAGGAUUCGUUUGACGGUACCGGUAGAAGAAGCACCGGCUAACUACGUGCCAGCCGCCGCCGUAAUAC